rnacentral:rRNA from 1 species
GCAACGAGCGCAACCCUUGUCCUUAGUUACCAGCGGGUUAAGCCCGGAACUCUAAGGAUACUGCCAGUGACAAACUGGAGGAAGGCGGGGACGACGUCAAGUCAUCAUGGCCCUUACGACCAGGGCUACACACGUGCUACAAUGGUAGGUACAGAGGGCAGCUACACAGCGAUGUGAUGCGAAUCUCAAAAAGCCUAUCGUAGUCCAGAUUGGAGUCUGCAACUCGACUCCAUGAAGUAGGAAUCGCUAGUAAUCGCGGAUCAGAAUGCCGCGGUGAAUACGUUCCCGGGCCUUGUACACACCGCCCGUCACACCAUGGGAGUUGAUUGCACCAGAAGUGGAUAGCUUAACCUUCGGGGAGGCGUUCACCACGGUGUGGUUGAUGACUGGGGUGAAGUCGUAACAAGGUA